ensembl:lncRNA
AUGCAUUAUCCAAUAACAUUUCUGUGUCCAAAAGCAAAACUCUACAAAGGAAUCACUUUCAGGUUUAGGCCUUUGUGGUUGGAAAGAUUUCUCUUGUGCUGGAUCGAUGCUACCACCCUGUGCCUUUCUCCCCUCCAGAGUCAGCUUCUCUCUCGGGACAGACAGAAAGCCUGGACACACUUCCAAGUGGCUUUCACUGGAUGUUGGUGUGCUCUCGUCUUAGACUCACAAACCACUCCAGCCUUGACGCCAUGCCAAUAUCAUAGAAACCUGGAUGCCAACACAGCCUGGAGCACCAGCUGCCUCAUCCUUGAGCCAAACCACCGGCACAUGGUCCAGACCAUUGGCAGGCAUCCAAAUCAGACAAGGCAAAGGCACCCCACUCCAGUACUCUUGCCUGGAAAAUCCCAUGGACCGAGGAGCCUGGUAGACUGCAGUCCAUGGGGUCGCUAAGAGUCGGACACGACUGAGUGACUUCACUUUCACUUUUCACUUUCAUGCAUUGGAGAAGGAAAUGGCAACCCACUCCAGUGUUCUUGCCUGGAGAAUCCCAGGGACAGGGGAGCCUGGUGGGCUGCCAUCUAUGGGGUCGCACAGAGUCGGACACGACUGAAGCGACUUAGCAGCAGCAGCAGGCAUCCAAAUCCUCAACACUCAGCUUUGGGAGGACCCAGGGGCUGGACUGAGGUGGACGGAAUGAAGAAGUGUCCAGCCGUUCCAUGUCCACAGGACCACCUGGGCCGGGCGCUAACAGCAGUCUGAUUACAGCGUGGCCACCGCUGCUCAUGUGUUGGCUUGGACAGAGUUUCUCUCCCAGGAUCUCCCAUGAGACUCCUCAGUGCAGUCUGAUACAAAGGGAACAUUGCCAGGCUCUGAAGUUUGGGGUUCAUCAGUUCUGGGCUGAGUGAGGAUUCUGAGUUAUCAGAAAGAGCUCCUGGGGGAUCCCAGGAUCAGGGACCAUUGGAAAUGUCACCUGACGCAUCUCACUCUGAGCACCCGGGAGCCUUGCUCUGGUGAGUUGACCUCCCCACAGGUCUUGACAGAAGGAGCACUGAACCUCGUGUGUGGAGACACUUCAUCCUGAUCUAUUUGGCCCCGCUAGGCAAAUUUGGCCCUCAUCAACAUAUAUUGAAUGCUUUCUGGAUGUGCCUGGGGGCUUGGCAUUGAGGAUAUGAGGAUGUGGACACAGUCCUGACACUGCAGAGGCAGCCACCCUCAUGGAGAAGGCAGCUCUGCAGGUGCUCCUUCUGUGGAGCAGAACCAGGAGAGAAGGCCUGGAGGCUUCAGAAGCCUGCCUGCCCCCAGUGCCAAGCCUGCUCCAAGUGGGGCCUGAGCCUCAGGAAUGAUGGACACUGGACCUUUGAGGAGAAAAUGGGAUCGAGAAGUAUGAAACAAAUGAUACAGAAAUAAAGCCUCUUUGGGGGAUGGGGGUGGGGGUGGU